UAGGGAAUCUUCCACAAUGGACAAAAGUCUGAUGGAGCAACGCCGCGUGAGUGAAGAAGGGUUUCGGCUCGUAAAACUCUGUUGUUAAAGAAGAACAUAUCUGAGAGUAACUGUUCAGGUAUUGACGGUAUUUAACCAGAAAGCCACGGCUAACUACGUGUCAG
rnacentral:rRNA from 1 species